GGGGUCGUUCUGGAUUCGACAGGUGUUGUCGCGUAUGAGCUGCGAUUGGUGCGGCGCCACCAUAAACCGCCGCAGAUAAAUAUAACUGCUAAAAAUACACAAACUUACGCAGUAGCUGCCUAAACCCCAGCCUGUGUGCCUGAUCUUCGCUCGCCUACGGUGACUUGAUGGCCUAAUCUAGUAGGAUACGCUCAAGCGUUGUUUCGCCGCUUGAUAAGAGAUUUAGAGACUCGCAAGCGGGCUUUGUUCGAGGAUUGUCUCGCCCGUUUGUUAAAUUUAGACAGUUCCUAUGAUUGUAGACGCUGAUAUAGCAAGGCAUUUGGACGUGGGUUCGACUCCCACCGGCUCCA
rnacentral:tmRNA from 1 species